rnacentral:lncRNA from 1 species
UGGACUUAUGGGACGAACAUAAGAACACUCGAAACUAAGGGUAGAUGUGAACCUAACGGUAUACCUGAAGUUUUGAUUACCACUUGAUGAGAACAAGGGUGGCCCGAUCUUCCGAAAGGUUCUGGUAACUCUUGAUUUGGUGGAGACGAGACACAAAUCGAUCCGGUUUUCGAACAACACGAUCCGAAUCCCUGUAAUUUUUUUGUUAUUUUUUUGAUAUUUUUCUGUAACUUAGGAGCACUAAAGAAGUAACCACAGAAAAUUUGAGCUUAAACAAGUGAAAGACGUGGCAUGUGGAAUUUUCUGAAGAUUGCGAAAAAUGUGAAAAAACAUCACUAGGUGAAAACUCAAACUUUGAAGGCAAAUUUGGAGACUCUAAAAUUUUCAAAACCGGUAAAGGCAUGGAUAGACGGAUCCAAAAAUUUUUUGAUCAAUUUUGAUAUAUGGAAUGUUGAAAUCGGAGUUCGUAUGUGAAAGUUAUAGCUGUUUUACGAACGGACUCUAAAUUAGAGGACAAAACGGUUCGAAAGUGGAAAAAAUUUGCAGCGGUGGCUAAAAAUUGAUGGAAACGGUGAGGAAAACCACACGAACUGGACUCGAACAAGACCUAACCAGAAACAAGACCUCGACAAGGACACAAACUCAACAAUGCAGACUCUAAAACUGAAAUAUGCAAAGGCUAUGGCGCGAAAGGGUUGUAAGACAGGAAAACGAUAUGUCAUUGGACUUAUGGGACGAACACAAGAACACCCGAAACUAAGGGUAGAUAUGAAUCUAACGGUAUACCUCAACCUUUGAUUACCACUUGAUGAGAACAUGGGUGGUCCACUCUUCCGAAAGGUUCUGGUAACUCUCGAUUUGGUGGAGACGAGGCACAAAUCGAUCCGGCUUCCGAACAACACGAUCCGAAACCCUACAAUUUUUUUUAUUUUUUUGAUAUUUUUCUUUUGCUUAGGAGCACUAAAGAAGUAACCUUAGAAAUUUGAGCUUAAACAAGUGAAAGACGUGACCUGCGGAAUUUUCUGAAGAUUGAGAAAAAUAUGAAAAAAACUUCACGAGAUGAAAACUCAAUCUUCGGAUGCGAAUUUGGAGAUUUUAAAAUUUUCAAACCCGCCAAGCGCAGCGACAGACAGACCCAAAAUGUUUUCUGAUCGAUUUUGAUAUAUGGAACGUUGAAAUCGGAGUUCGUAUGCGAACGUUAUGGCUGUUUUAAGAACGGACUCCGAAUUAGAGGACAAAACGGUGCGAAAGUGGGGAAAAUUUGCGGCGGUGGCUAUAAAUUGAUGGAAACGGUAAGGAAAUACACAUGAACUGGACUUGGAAACAACAUUGUGGACUCUGAAACUGAAAUAUACAAAGGCUAUGGCGCGGAAGGGUUGUAGGACAGGAAAAUGAUAUGACACUGGACAUAUGGGACGAACACAAGAACACUCGAAACUAAGGGUAGAUGUGAACCUAACGGUAUAAUUGAAUCUUUGAUUACCACUUGAUGAGAACAAGAGUAGCCCGAUCUUCCAAAAGGUUCUGGUAACUCGAUUUGGUGGAGACGAGACAAACCGAUCCGGCUUCCGAACAACACGAUCCGAAACCCAGCAAUUUUUCUUAUUUUUUUUAAUAUUUUUCUUUUACUUAGGAGCACUAAAGACGUAACCACAGAAAAUUUGAGCUUAAACAAGUGAAAGACGUGGCCCGCGGAAUUUUCUGAAGAUUGAGAAAAAUGUGAAAAAAACUUCACGACGUGAAAACUCAAUCUUUGGAGGUGAAUUUGGAGAUUUUAAAAUUUUCAAACCCGCCAAGCGCAGGGACAAAUAGAUCUGAAUUUUUUUUCGAUCGAUUUUGAUAUAUGGAACGUUGAAUUCGGAGUUCGUAUGCGAAAGUUAUGGCUUUUUUACGAACGGACUCCGAAUCAGAGGACAAAACGAUGCGAAAGUGGGGAAAAUUUGUAGCGGUGGCUAGAAAUUGAUGGAAACGGUGAGGAAAUACACACGAAGUUGACUCCACAAACAACACUGCGGACUCUGAAACUGUAAUAUGCAAAGACUAUGGUGCGGAAGGGUUGUAUGACAGGAAAACGAUAUGGCACUAGACAUAUGGGACGAACAUAAGGACACUCGAAACUAAGGGUAGAUGUGAACCUAACGGUAUACCUGAAGCUUUGAUUACCACUUCAUGAGAAAAAGGGUGGACCGAUCUUUCGAAAGGUUCUGGUAACUCGAUUUGGUAGAGACGAGACAAAAACCGAUCCGGCUUCCGGACUACACGAUCCGAAACCCUACAAUUUUUUUUAUUAUUUUUUAUAAUUUCAUUUUACAUAGCAGCACUAAAGAAGUAACCACAGAAAAUUUAAGCUUAAAUAAGUGAAAGACGUGGCCUGCGGAAUUUUCUGAAGAUUGUGAAAAAUGUG